rnacentral:rRNA from 1 species
AACGCUAGCUACAGGCUUAACACAUGCAAGUCGAGGGGCAGCAUGGUCUUAGCUUGCUAAGGCCGAUGGCGACCGGCGCACGGGUGAGUAACACGUAUCCAACCUGCCGUCUACUCUUGGACAGCCUUCUGAAAGGAAGAUUAAUACAAGAUGGCAUCAUGAGUCCACAUGUUCACAUGAUUAAAGGUAUUCCGGUAGACGAUGGGGAUGCGUUCCAUUAGAUAGUAGGCGGGGUAACGGCCCACCUAGUCUUCGAUGGAUAGGGGUUCUGAGAGGAAGGUCCCCCACAUUGGAACUGAGACACGGUCCAAACUCCUACGGGAGGCAGCAGUGAGGAAUAUUGGUCAAUGGGCGAGAGCCUGAACCAGCCAAGUAGCGUGAAGGAUGACUGCCCUAUGGGUUGUAAACUUCUUUUAUAAAGGAAUAAAGUCGGGUAUGGAUACCCGUUUGCAUGUACUUUAUGAAUAAGGAUCGGCUAACUCCGUGCCAGCAGCCGCGGCAAUACGGAGGAUCCGAGCGUUAUCCGGAUUUAUUGGGUUUAAAGGGAGCGUAGAUGGAUGUUUAAGUCAGUUGUGAAAGUUUGCGGCUCAACCGUAAAAUUGCAGUUGAUACUGGAUAUCUUGAGUGCAGUUGAGGCAGGCGGAAUUCGUGGUGUAGCGGUGAAAUGCUUAGAUAUCACGAAGAACUCCGAUUGCGAAGGCAGCCUGCUAAGCUGCAACUGACAUUGAGGCUCGAAAGUGUGGGUAUCAAACAGGAUUAGAUACCCUGGUAGUCCACACGGUAAACGAUGAAUACUCGCUGUUUGCGAUAUACAGCAAGCGGCCAAGCGAAAGCGUUAAGUAUUCCACCUGGGGAGUACGCCGGCAACGGUGAAACUCAAAGGAAUUGACGGGGGCCCGCACAAGCGGAGGAACAUGUGGUUUAAUUCGAUGAUACGCGAGGAACCUUACCCGGGCUUAAAUUGCAGAUGAAUUACGGUGAAAGCCGUAAGCCGCAAGGCAUCUGUGAAGGUGCUGCAUGGUUGUCGUCAGCUCGUGCCGUGAGGUGUCGGCUUAAGUGCCAUAACGAGCGCAACCCUUGUUGUCAGUUACUAACAGGUUCCGCUGAGGACUCUGACAAGACUGCCAUCGUAAGAUGUGAGGAAGGUGGGGAUGACGUCAAAUCAGCACGGCCCUUACGUCCGGGGCUACACACGUGUUACAAUGGGGGGUACAGAGGGCCGCUACCACGCGAGUGGAUGCCAAUCCCAAAAACCUCUCUCAGUUCGGACUGGAGUCUGCAACCCGACUCCACGAAGCUGGAUUCGCUAGUAAUCGCGCAUCAGCCACGGCGCGGUGAAUACGUUCCCGGGCCUUGUACACACCGCCCGUCAAGCCAUGGGAGCCGGGGGUAUCUGAAGUGCGUAACCGCGAGGAGCGCCCUAGGGUAAAACUGGUGACUGGGGC